rnacentral:rRNA from 1 species
UAUUUUCAGUUGGUUUUGGCAGCGCGAGGACUAGGGUAAUGAUUAAUAGGGAUAGUUGGGGGCAUUAAUAUUUAAUUGUCAGAGGUGAAAUUCUUGGAUUUAUGAAAGAUUAACUUCUGCGAAAGCAUCUGCCAAGGAUGUUUUCAUUAAUCAAGAACGAAAGUUAGGGGAUCGAAGACGAUCAGAUACCGUCGUAGUCUUAACCAUAAACGAUGCCGACCAGCGAUUAGGAGACGUUGAAUACAAAACACCACCAUCGGCGCGGUCGUCCUUGGCGUCGGUCUUUCGGGGCCGGCGCGGGGGCGGCUUAGCCCGGUGGCACCGGUGAAUGACUCCCUAGCAG